CGGUACCCGCCGCCACUCUCUCGUUUUGCCUCUGCUCGUAGCACAACUUCUCCCACGCGCUCUGGACUUCGGCCGCUCGCGCCGCGCGCUGCGGCACGUCGUUGGCGCCUCGCCGUCCUCGCCCGCGGGCGCACCCAGCAAGACUCCGCCUUGCGCUGCUCCUCGCCGUCGCCAUGACCUCCGGGAUGUCGUCAUCGCCAUGACGUCCGCGACCUCGUCUUCGUCUCCAAGUUCUCUCACCACCGGCGUCCGCUCGGCCAAGAUCCUCCCGAGUCGCACGCGCCUUCAGCUACACGCGCCCGUCCUGCAUGUCGUCCCGGUCGUUGACCUCGUCUCUCCGCCCUCGCUCUUGACGUCGUCCGUCGCCAAGACCGCCAGCAUCCGGACCUGCGCACGCUUCUGCAAGCACGUCGGCCAGUCCUCCAUCCCCAGGGACGCCCGCUGCACCACGUUGCUGUCCACCUUGCCGGCCUCUACCUCUACUUCGACCUCCAGCGUGCUCCUGACCAGCUCCUCCGGCUGUUCGUCCGCGUGUGCGCCGCCAGGCCUCGCUGCGCUCGUCCUCACCCGCAUGUCUCCAUCCUCGCCUCAAGUUCGUCAUCUCCGUCUUCGUCGCCCAGGUCCAAGGCGUGGCUUUUCUGCAUCUUGAGCUGGCUGCGUAUCCAUUCAUGUAUCAACGCAAGCAACUCAACAUCGUUUGGUUCCCAUCUUCGUUUGGAUCAAUAAAGGUUGCAGCUGCUCAUGAUCAAAAUGUGCUUUGUAGACCAGCUGGUUCGUUUCUUUGUUCAGACGUGAGCUCCCGGGGUCAAAUUCCAUUCCAUGCAAAUGACAAAUCCUUUUUAUAAUCCCCAUUUGUUUAUCUGAUUCAAUGACAGCCGGAUUCCACCGUCAGCUCCUGCCAAUGCCACCUCAGUGAACCCGUCAAGUCAUCAAUCCAAUCAUCACUCUCUGGUCCAGCCGUCAGCCGCUGUGGCUAGCUCUUCUCUGCGCUUUGAUUCUUCCCGGAUAGGAUCACGAAGUGGUACGGUGAGAUACGCCAAGUUCUCCGGAUGUCCCUCGGCAAGCUCUAACAGGCAAGCAUUUCCCCUAUACUCCUGCCCCUGCAGAAGUCGCUCACCUAUUUUAUUUUGCCUUCUCCCUCAUGCUAUCCUUAAGUUGCGUUCUUGUCACGUGUCCCUUCCACUUAUUACCUCAAGCAGCCCAUAUUGCCUCCACCAACCACCUAUGGCUAUUGUUUGGUAUCGGGUCUGCCUUGCGAGUCGUAGUGCAUGCUAGUGCUGUUAUAUCUCGUUACCGUUAUCGCUAUCUUAUCGGUUGUCUGUUGGGAAUCAUGACACAUGGUUUAUGGUUAUAUCUGUUGGAAGUAUCAUGGUUACUUGUUAAUAGUUGUUAGCGGAGGCAUCGGUGGGUCAGUUGCUCGUUUUAUGACGGCUCACUUGUGUUUCCUUAAAACCUAGGACCCCGAGUUCUUGUUAUCUGUUCCGAGACUGAGCGCUCUAACCACACGUGGGUAUGCUUCUGGGUCUCCCCUCGAC